UGCAGUCGAGCGGACAGAUGGGAGCUUGCUCCCUGAUGUUAGCGGCGGACGGGUGAGUAACACGUGGGUAACCUGCCUGUAAGACUGGGAUAACUCCGGGAAACCGGGGCUAAUACCGGAUGCUUGUUUGAACCGCAUGGUUCAAACAUAAAAGGUGGCUUCGGCUACCACUUACAGAUGGACCCGCGGCGCAUUAGCUAGUUGGUGAGGUAAUGGCUCACCAAGGCAACGAUGCGUAGCCGACCUGAGAGGGUGAUCGGCCACACUGGGACUGAGACACGGCCCAGACUCCUACGGGAGGCAGCAGUAGGGAAUCUUCCGCAAUGGACGAAAGUCUGACGGAGCAACGCCGCGUGAGUGAUGAAGGUUUUCGGAUCGUAAAGCUCUGUUGUUAGGGAAGAACAAGUACCGUUCGAAUAGGGCGGUACCUUGACGGUACCUAACCAGAAAGCCACGGCUAACUACGUGCCAGCAGCCGCGGUAAUACGUAGGUGGCAAGCGUUGUCCGGAAUUAUUGGGCGUAAAGGGCUCGCAGGCGGUUUCUUAAGUCUGAUGUGAAAGCCCCCGGCUCAACCGGGGAGGGUCAUUGGAAACUGGGGAACUUGAGUGCAGAAGAGGAGAGUGGAAUUCCACGUGUAGCGGUGAAAUGCAUAGAGAUGUGGAGGAACACCUGUGGCGAAGGCGACUCUCUGGUCUGUAACUGACGCUGAGGAGCGAAAGCGUGGGGAGGCGAACAGGAUUAAUAUACCCUGCUUAGUCCACGCCGUAAACGAUGAGUGCUAAGUGUUAGUGGGUUUCCGCCCCUUUAGUGCUGCAGCUACCGCAUUA
rnacentral:rRNA from 1 species